UACGUAGGCAGCAAGCGUUGUUCGGAGUUACUGGGCGUAAAGGGUGUGUAGGCGGUUGCUUAAGUUUGGUGUGAAAUCUCCCGGCUCAACUGGGAGGGUGCGCCGAAUACUGAGUGACUCGAGUGCGGGAGAGGAAAGUGGAAUUCCAGGUGUAGCGGUGAAAUGCGUAGAUAUCUGGAGGAACACCGGUGGUGUAGACGGCUUUCUGGACCGUAACUGACGCUGAGACACGAAAGCGUGGGUAGCAAACAGG
rnacentral:rRNA from 1 species